UGAGGAAUAUUGGGCAAUGCCCGCAAGGGUGACCCAGCAACGCCGCGUGGAGGAUGAAUGUCGUAAGAUUGUAAACUCCUGUUAGAGGGGAAGAAUAGUACCGGUUGGACCGGUAUAUGACUGUACCCUCAGAGAAAGCCCCGGCUAACUACGUGCCAGCAGCCGCGGUAAUACGUAGGGGGCAAGCGUUGUCCGGAUUUACUGGGAGUAAAGGGCGCGCAGGCGGGAUAAAAAGUCAGUGGUGAAAUCCUACAGCUUAACUGUAGAACUGCCUUUGAUACUUUUAUUCUUGAGUUCGGGAGAGAGAGACGGAAUUCCAGGUGUAGCGGUGAAAUACGUAGAUAUCUGGAAGAACACCAGUUGCGAAGGCGGUCUCUUGGUCCGACACUGACGCUGAGGCGCGAAAGCGUGGGGAGCAAACA
rnacentral:rRNA from 1 species